CGUAGGGUGCGAGCGUUGUCCGGAAUUAUUGGGCGUAAAGAGCUCGUAGGCGGUUUGUCGCGUCGGCCGUGGAAACCGGGGGCUUAACCCUCGGCGUGCGGUCGAUACGGGCAGACUUGAGUUCGGCAGGGGAGACUGGAAUUCCUGGUGUAGCGGUGGAAUGCGCAGAUAUCAGGAGGAACACCGGUGGCGAAGGCGGGUCUCUGGGCCGAUACUGACGCUGAGGAGCGAAAGCGUGGGGAGCGAACAGGAUU
rnacentral:rRNA from 1 species